AGUAUGAAGUACUUCGUUGUCAGGAGUUUAAUAAAUCUAUGGUUCGAGGUGUUUUUAUGUUUUGCUUGAAUGUAUCUGCUAACUACUAUAAAAUGCUCAGUUAUAUACUAACUACUGAAUGUGGUAUAUGUUAUCAAAGACUAUUCGUGCUUGUGAAUAGUAUCAAAAAUCUGAGAAAUUUGUGUUAUCUUCAGAAAAAAUACGCACGCUCAGAACAGUUACAAACUAGUUCCUGCCCUUUCUUGAACAAACCUAGUAGGUUGAUAAACCGAAAUAGUAGAUUACAGACAUCAUCCUUAAAAAUGUCACAGGAAUGUAAAAUUGAUAAAGAAGAAAUAAGAAAAAAAUUAACUCCUUUGCAAUAUCAUGUAACUCAGGAAAAAGGAACUGAGAGACCAUUUAGUGGAUGUUACAAUAAAACUUAUGAUGCUGGUACCUAUGUAUGCAUUGUUUGUGAGCAGCCUUUAUUUAGUUCUGAUACUAAAUAUGAUAGUGGCUGUGGAUGGCCUGCUUUCAAUGAUGUUUUAGAUCAAGGCAAAGUUAAACUUUCCCCUGAUACUAGUGGAGAUAAUUUUUUAAAUUUUUCUCUAUAAGAACCAUCCUCGUACUUCAAGGAAUAUUAUACAGAACAAUUAGCAAAAUCGGUUCAGAUUGAAAAUAUUGAGUUACCCAAAUAAAAAAAUUCCUUACACCGCCGAAAACAGGAAAAUGGUAGAAAUCGCCAGAAUUUGGGUAUUUAUAACAAAAUUGAAGUUUAUAGUUGCAUUCAAUUUAACAAAUAACAGAAAAAUUUCGAAAAUGUAGAAACAAAUACCAAAAGUCAAAGUUCAAAACACUUAUUUAGUCCCGAAACUUGGUGGUUCCACAGUUUUUUUCCUUAUAUGUGACAUGACUUGAUGUACCUAAUUAAUUUUAAAACAAUUCAGUUAUCUGUGACUUGUGGUUUGGUUUCCUCAGCUAUAGACCGGGUUUUACAAUUGAUUAAUGAUUAGUCAAGCAUUAAUCAUCAAUUUAUCAAAUAACGAGAUAAAUAUCUGGAAAGUAGGUACCUGGUAUAACAUCAACCCAAAUAAUUGUCAUAGAUGAAUACAAUUACAAAUAGAUGAAAUUUAAGAACAAUCAACACUCGUGAGCCAUAAAAUCGACUCAAGUGGACGCUCGCGGUCAAAAGUGGCUUCCAUUAUUUUUUUCAAAGCCUAGUUUUAGCUCUAAAAUGAGUUGUAUAUGUUGUCAUUGAGUUAAUUUUUUGAUAACCGUCACGGAACCUGCAGUAUAUGGACGAACAUUUUCCUGCAUAACUUAGGCGUUUUCGCCGAUGAAAUUAGCAUAGGGAACGACUCGAUUCCCAAAAAUUUCUUACAAAUAUCGGUACCCGCUCAACCACCAGUUUCAAUAGAAACCAAUAUUUGUUUCCAUUGGAAUGCCCGCCCAAACCAUCCAAGGACCUCCUCCAAAAGCCACAUUUUCUUUUAUGUAACACUGUGCGAAUCUUUCUCCAGCUUCCCUAUAGAUUCGUCUUCUGCUAUCGCUACUAUGCAGGCACACAUUGUUUGUCAGUUCUGUGGCAAAUCGAAGGCGGGCUAAGGUUAAUUUGAAGCCAGUAGCUGGCCAUUUGGUCAAGGUUAGCUGCCUUAAGUCUUCAGGACGCUAAAGCAGACUGAAUCAUGUUCAACGCACUAGCUACUUCUCGCUGACUCUGGCCUUGUCGCAGUAGGGUGACCGCUUGAGUAGCUUUAUCACUUGUAUCCAUUUUCAUGUAAAAUUCUUGUUUGUUGUUAACAGAGCUGUGAAUUGGUUGACUUUACUUUCCAUCGACUCUAUAGUAUGAAUAAAAGUAAAUUAUUUGUUAAUAUUUUUUAAUUUUAAAGUAACAAAAACAAUAAAAUUAUCCAAAAGCCCGUGCCACCAUUUUUAUCAUGUAUUUACAUAAGGAGUAAUAUUUUAUUGUGUCAGUUGUUGUCCGUGUAAAUAUAUUCUUAGUGUUUGUUUGCAGUUUGCGAAACAUUGGGAAAAUCUAAUUGUAAAUUUUUUCUUCCUAUCCCUUGCCUGAACCCUCAUCAUCGCUUCUCUCUUUUGAAUGGUCCUCUACACCAUUUUUUUUAUUUUUUGUUUUGCAUUGUAUCAUUGUACAUUAUUUUGGUUUUGGUUUCUCAUUUUCAAUACCCUUCAUAUCCACUCCCCGCUCUUUAUUACCCUAAAAUAUAGUUGGUUCAAACCUUUUACUCCUCAUAUCCCAACCAGGGCGAAUUCGUACUGAAGUAACGUGCGCCAAGUGUGGAUCUCAUUUAGGACAUGUUUUUGGAGAUGGCCCACCACCGACUAAGAAGAGAUUCUGUAUCAACUCGGCAUCUUUAAAUUUCAUACCACGUGAAAAGGACACCAGUAGCUGAGACUUUUCAUGUGGUUUUAUUAUAUAAUUUAUGCAGUGGCUUUUUUAAUUUAAUGAAGCAAUAUAUAUUAAAACAAAUUAAUAGUUGUGUAUUUUGAAGAUAACAAAUGAUUGAAUUAAUAAAAA